AAAGAAACAAUGUGGUCCGGCAUUAACAAUAAAAAAGCAAGGAGUAGAGGAAUCCCGUGUGAUUCGGGAACUGUGCCGCAACGGUGACCCCGCUUCGCGUAAAGCUACGCGGGGCGAGGAAGUCCGGAACUCUUCCUUACUUGAUUCAUCCCG
rnacentral:ncRNA from 2 species